rnacentral:ncRNA from 1 species
UUUUGAUCACUGGUUUUUUUAGUGUAAUUGUUCCAUCUAAUUUCUUAAAAGUUUUAUUCUUGCUUAUUUAUUCAUUUUUUUCCUUUGUAUUAUAUGUGAGUUUUGUUAAACUAAAAGUUCCUUUUGCAGUAAUUUAAUUUAAUUAUCAAGUAAUUUUGGAAUUAGUAAUUGGUUUAGUAUUGGCAAAUUUUGUGCCAGCAGCCGCGGUUAUACUUUUAAUGCAAGUGAAUAUUUUAGGUUAAAAUAGUUAUUUAUAAUUUUAGGAUUAACUUAUGAAUUUAUGAGGUGAAAUUUCAAAUUUUUUUAUAAUUCUUAUUAUGGGACUGUGAAACUUAAAUAAUAAACUAGGAUUAGAUACCCUAUUAUCUUAAGUGUUAAUUUUGCUUACCUGGGUACUAAAAAUUAGUUAAAAUCUUAAAACCCAAAGAAUUUGGCGGUAUCUUAUACCAUUUAGAGGAACCUACCACGUAAUUGAUAAUACACGAUUGACUUUACUUAAUUUAUUUGUUUGUAUAUCUCCGUUAUCAGAAAAUCUUUUUAGAGUUAAAAUUUUCUUGAUUUAUAAUUAUAAAAUAUUUCAGGUCAAGGUGCAGCUUAUAAUUAAGAGUAGGUGGGUUACAAUAAAUUUUGAUUUAUUACGUGUUUAAUAGUGAAAUACUAUUAAUGAAGGUGGAUUUAAUAGUAAUUUGAUUUAUUUAAUUUAAUUGAUAUUGGCUCUGAGGUGUGUACACAUCGCCCGUCGCUCUCAUUAAUGAUUAAUCUAUUUAAAUUUAAAGAUGGUUUCAACUUAGAUGAGAUAAGUCGUAACAUAGUAGAUGUACUGGAAAGUGUAUCUAGAAAGAUUAC